rnacentral:rRNA from 1 species
AGAGUUUGAUCCUGGCUCAGAAUCAACGCUGGCGGCGCGCCUAACACAUGCAAGUCGAAACGAGAAAGCCCGCAAGGGUGAGUACAGUGGCGUACGGGUGAGUAACACGUGGAUAAUCUACCCUCUAGUGGGGAAAUACCGUUGGGAAACCGACGACAAAUACCGCAUAAGCUCGAGAGAGGAAAAGCAGCAAUGCGCUGGAGGAGGAGUCCGCGGCUGAUUAGCUAGUUGGUGAGGUAAUGGCUCACCAAGGCUUAGAUCAGUAGCCGGCCUGAGAGGGCACACGGCCACACUGGCACUGAAACACGGGCCAGACUCCUACGGGAGGCAGCAGUGGGGAAUCUUGCACAAUGGGGGAAACCCUGAUGCAGCGACGCCGCGUGAGCGAUGAAGCCCUUCGGGGUGUAAAGCUCUUUCGGCAGGGAAGAUAAUGACGGUACCUGCAAAAGCAGCUGCGGCUAACUACGUGCCAGCAGCCGCGGUAAUACGUAGGCAGCAAGCGUUGUUCGGAGUUACUGGGCGUAAAGGGUGUGUAGGCGGUUGGAUAAGUGUGGUGUGAAAUCUCCCGGCUUAACUGGGAGGGUGCGCUACAAACUGUCUGACUAGAGUAUGGGAUGGGAGAGUGGAAAUUUCCUGGUGUAGCGGUGAAAUGCGUAGAUAUCAGGAGGAAACACCGGUGGUGUAGACGGCUCUCUGGACCAUUACUGACGCUGAGACACGAAAGCGUGGGUAGCAAACAGGAUUAGAUACCCCAGUAGUCC